rnacentral:rRNA from 1 species
CCUACGGGAGGCAGCAGUAGGGAAUAUUGCUCAAUGGGGGAAACCCUGAAGCAGCAACGCCGCGUGGAGGAUGAAGGUUUUAGGAUUGUAAACUCCUUUUGUUAGAGAAGAUUAUGACUGUAUCUAACGAAUAAGCACCGGCCAAAUCCGUGCCAGCAGCCGCGGUAAUACGGAGGGGGCAAGCGUUACUCGGAAGCACUGGGCGGAAAGAGUGCGUAGGCGGGGUAAUAAGUCAGAUGUGAAAUCCUGUAGCUUAACUACAGAAGUGCAUUUGAAACUGUUACUCUGGAGUGUGGGAGAGGUAGGUGGAAUUCUUGGUGUAGGGGUAAAAUGCGUAGAGAUCAAGAGGAAUACUCAUUGCGAAGGCGACCUGCUGGAACAUUACUGACGCUGAUGCACGAAAGCGUGGGGAGCAAACAGGAUUAGAUACCCUUGUAGUC